CUUAUUUUCCACGACAACAAGGGCGGCGCCAUUGCGCUCAUUUUGUCAACGUACUUCCGGCUGCAUAUGAUGAGCAGCUGAGGCAGUGGCUGAAGGCGACGCGUUAAACUUAAAAAGCUCACUCAAGCGCCUUUAUGUUUGUUUCUUACCAAUUUUAAUGGACGGGGAGCCGACUGAAGAACACCCUAAUCCCAAGUAAUGGUUCGACUACGAUGUUCCGGUAACUUUAAACCACGCCGGGUGUUGAAAAGGUGGUCAGUUUCAGAUGCAUUGAUGUUUAGUGAUGCAAUGGACAACUGUGAGGAUGAUAUACAAUCAACGUGUUCCUAAACUGUGAUGCAGAAACACAAUGGGAGGAUCAAUCCGUCUCUGAACACAACUACACUUUAAAAUCACAACUCAACGUUGAAGCAACCUACAUCUGAUAUGGGAAAACAACCUUGCAGUUUCCCGGACAGGGCUUAUGCUGGUCCCAGGCUAAAAUGCUUAUUUGAGCUACAAUAAUUUAAAAACACCUUGUACUGACAUACCUCAACAUAUAUGAGUGCCAUUGUUUUGUCACAAGAUGUGGUUUGUUUGUAAAAACUAAAAUGUCCUAAUAUAAUUAAGGCCUAGUCCUGUAAACCCUGUCUGAGAAACUGCUUCAAUGCUUCUGCUUCAUGUGUUGAGCUGUCACAAGAGUACAUAUCUCUGCUGAGAAACAACCAUCUUUGUCAGCUUUACACAGGGUUGAUAUUGCAUGCAUUACAUUCAGUCGCUAAGCACAUCACCAGUACAUACACAUACAGCUUCCAGAUAAACACUUGGGAUCAGCUCCUGAUGACUCUGAUAAAGCUGUGUCUUAAUUCAUUGCAGGGUGGUCUUGCUGAAAAGUUAGUUGUUUCUUAGUCCAUAGUUAUUUUUAUAAACCUUUACAAUUUGACCUGAUUUUACCUGUUGUAAAGUUACAUUAAACCUUCAUACAGUUUGUGAUCAGAUGUCAUGCAGUGAUAUCAAACAUUUACAAUGUGAUCUGUUGUGCAUUUAUAUUAAACCUUUAUAAUGUGAUCAGAUAUUACCUACCAUGCAGUUAUAUUAAACCUUUACAAUGUGAUCAGAUGUUGUGCAUUUAUAUUAAACCUUUACAAUGUGAUCAGAUGUUGUGCAGUUAUAUUAAACAUUUACAAUGUGAUCAGAUGUUACCAGUCAUGCAUUUAUAUAAAACCUUUACAAUGUGAUCAGAUGUUGUGCAGUUAUAUUAAAUCUUUACAAUGUGA